rnacentral:lncRNA from 1 species
AUUUACAAAGUCAACAAUAUAUGCUCCAAACAUGCUUCUGGGAGAAUUUGUUUCUCUCAAGGCCUAUUGGCUAUCCUAAUUCCUAACUCUAGGAAUUUCCCCAGUUAAAAAAAUUAGACUAGCUCAAAAGUCAACAAGAAUAGGCCUUAACUUUCAAAUAGGAAAGAAAAGUAUUGUCUCAAAACAAUGUGUUCAUGAAAACAUUAUGUAAUCAAAUUAUUCUAUCACUUGUCUUCUUCGGCACCACCACGAAUUCGACUCUGAAGAUGUUCCAAGCUAGCCACCCGUGGCAGGGAAUUUGUUCGUCCUAUCUUGUUCCCACCUGCUGGGGUGUUCUGCCCACUUUCAGCUGAAGAAAUAAUGCUUCCCGAUCUAUUAUUGGCUCCUCUCAUAUCAUGACUGGACAUAAGAUGAUUAGGUAAGGGUUGAAAAAAGUGAUUAUUUGGAUCUUCUUGCACAGGCACAGAUGCAUCAGCUGAUGAUUCAGAAGGACUUCCAUCAAAUAAUGACAUUCCCAUUGAUGAUACCUCAGACAUUGCAUUAAACACCGGGUUCGAUCCAGUAAAUCUUUUAACUGUCUCUUCAGCCAUCUUCACCUUAAAAUGAGAACAAUAUAAAGGGAAUAAAUGAGCAUGUCAGAUCAUUGCAAAUACACAUAAAUCAAUUGGAAAUGGAUUCCUUCUAGUUGGAAUAUCGCUGGAUUCACGCAAUCAGUGCAAUGGCUACUACUGGAUUCAGAUCGGACAUUUCACAAAAUAAGAAGAUUCUGAUUCUUCUUGAAAAUCCAAAGCACCGAGGUUGAAUCUCAAGCAUCCGAUCUUAAUCUAAGUAGUCACCAAUGUGCUGACUGCGUAAACUCAAGGCAUUCAAAUUGCAGAGAAUUUUGAUCCAAGUAGUAGGCUUCUAUAACCAGUUUUACUAGUAAAGUAGUUAAAUCAAGGACUUACCUUCGCUCUUAAUGUUUCAACAUCAGCUUUUAAUAUUCUGUUGUCAACAGCAGAAUUGUUGAAUUUUUGGGUCACAUCUGUUAAACGCUUUAACAAUGAAGAAUUUUCACCUCUUAAUUCAGAAACCUAAUAAGAUAGAAUAAUAUAUCAGAUAUCAGAUUUGAACGACUAAUUAAGAUGGACAUAGAGAUCAGAGAAGAAAAUGCAGAAGAAAUGGAUCUAAAAAAACAUGCAUGCUGACCUGUGUUUCAAGCUCAGUUAAAUGAGCUUGCUUUCUUCGUCUUGAGCGUCUAGCUGAUUCCCUAUUAGAGAGCAUCCUGAAAGGCAAUGUCAUUAGGCAUUAGGUACUGUUUGUGUAAAAUACUUAAUCAAGGGCUUAUAGCAUAAACACUUAUUAUACAAGUGUUUAUGUAUAAGCUAUUUCUAUAAUUAAGGAUAAAAUAAAAUUCAACUGUUUUUACAUAAGCUAUAAGUUGUUUUUGUAACUAUCAUAGAGAUUUCAUGGGAAUAAGCUGAAAACAGCUUACAGGCAUGUGUUGUUUCCACGAUCUCCCUCAAAUAAUUUCACAAGUGUUUUUGUUAGUACAUAAACUCAAAUAAGUCAAUGUCAAUCUAAACAGACCUUAAUUAUACAAUCGACUAAUUAGACCAGAAGAUUUCCUGUGCAAAACACAUCAAUUACCUUCUUACUCGUUUUGCAUCAGUAGGGUUGUCUCCAUUCAUAUUAAUCUCUCCAUCACCUUCCUCAUCGUCUGAUGAUCCACUUGUUGUUGACUUGAUUGUAACAGCUGGUUUCUUUGGCAUGCAAGGAACCCCAACAGCAACUUUGAUAUCUUUAUUUUGUAAUUUAGAUGGAUCAUUUCCAGAAGGGCCACAUUCUACAUAGGAAUCAAAUACAAAAGACAUAUGUUUUUACAUAUGCAGACAUGAACUUAAUAAACACAUACAAAUGUGUAUACCAAAAAACAAACCUUUCAAUGUAGCCAGAGGUCCAAGUUCAUAAGGAUAAGAUGGCUGUGAUCCAUUAUCAGGAUCCUGAGAUUUGACCAAAGAUCCCUGUUGCCAUGAGUAGUAAAAGAAAACAUUAGUAUUUCAUUUCAUAGUAAAUCACAACUGAUCAGAGUAACAACUAACAAGCACUCCUUAAAUUGAUUGACUUGACAAUUGUUUGGACGAGUAAUUUUUUGCUAUUAAGCUUACAUGAAAACCUAGUGGAAUGAAUGAAUCAUGCCAUUGGAUGAUGUCUAAUUCAACAAUACAAUGAUUUUGACCGAAUAUCCAAACAUACACGUUAGUCUUUUCCACCCAUGAAAGCAAAUUGCCACAAACAGAAAAUAUAUAGGAAAUUAAAUUGUAUCAGGCAAAAUCAUACCAACAAAAAAAAUAUGCAUGGUUUUGUCAAAAGUAUAUAUAUAUAUAUAUUAAAAAAGAGAAAGAUAUAUACCCUCGACUUAGCGACGGCGGCGCAAGCAAGAUCAAGCUUGGUCUUGAGAAGAGCCUGAUAAUCCUCUGAAUCAAUACUAUUAUUGAUUUUGAGAUUGACAUCAACGGUGGAAGAAGAAGUUGAAGUUGAAGUUGAUGAUGAAGAAGGCUUUGCAGUAGCAGCUUCUGCUUCUUCAGCAGCUUCUUGUUCACGUAAAAACUUUUGGAAAGCCCAUUCUGAAUCACUCCGAUUCAUCUUUGUGUCUCCUCCCUUGCACGCUUUCGAGGUCAACCAAUAUUGCUCCGUUAUUUCAGCAAUUGAUAACACUCUUUCCAUUUUCUUCUCUUUCUUUCUCACCUAUGUUAUAUAUAUGCUGCUAUUCUUUUCUGGCCAAGACACUGCUAAUAUAUUGUUAGCUUUAUUCUUCGGUAUUUAAAGUAAUCAUUAAAUAUGGAGAUUUUAUAUUGUCAUAUCUAUUUUAAAUCCAUGUUUGAAUUUGAUCCCUGUAUAUAAUAUGUAAUACUUAUCUUUUUUAUCGAUUAAAA